CAAUUGUGAUCCUUGGCUAAUGGAACCGAAACAGCCAUAUGGCACUUAAGAUUGCAGUAAUGAGCUGAGAGCCUGAGAACAGCUGCCUGAAUGAGUACUGUGUGAGGGAAGCGGGGAGCCGGGAGUUAACAGAAGUGAGCUAAGUCCUCAUCUCAAAGAAGCGGCCCGGUGGAUGAUCGUGAAUUGCUAAGUCAUAACCCGAAGAGGGAUUGACCGCGUCUUGGUCCCAUGGAUUUUUAUUGC
rnacentral:lncRNA from 1 species